rfam:Brachypodium distachyon strain Bd21 chromosome 2, whole genome shotgun sequence.
GUCAUAGUCCCUCCGUCCGGUAUUAAGUUUCACAAUUUCGUUUAGAUACACAUGUAUCUACACACUAAAACGCGUCUAGAUAUAUGCUUAUCUAGACAAAGUUGUGACACUUAAAACUGGAUGGAGGGAGUACUUU